GACGGAGGAUGCAAGCGUUAUCCGGAAUGAUUGGGCGUAAAGCAUCCGCAGGUGGCAGUUCAAGUCUGCUGUCAAAGACCGGGGCUUAAACUUCGGAAAGGCAGUGGAAACUGAACAGCUAGGAGUAUGGUAGGGGCAGAGGGAAUUCCUGGAUGUAGCGGUGAAAUGACGGUAGAGAUCAGGAAGAACAUCGGCUGGCGAAGGCGCUCUGCUGGACCAUAACUGACACUCAGGGACGAAAGCUAGGGGAGCGAAUGGG
rnacentral:rRNA from 1 species